rnacentral:rRNA from 1 species
GUGGGGAAUUUUGGACAAUGGGCGCAAGCCUGAUCCAGCAAUGCCGCGUGCAGGAAGAAGGCCUUCGGGUUGUAAACUGCUUUUGUACGGAACUAAAAGACUCCUUCUAAUAAAGGGGGUCCAUGACGGUACCGUAAGAAUAAGCACCGGCUAACUACGUGCCAGCAGCCGCGGUAAUACGUAGGGUGCAAGCGUUAAUCGGAAUUACUGGGCGUAAAGCGUGCGCAGGCGGUUAUAUAAGACAGAUGUGAAAUCCCCGGGCUCAACCUGGGAACUGCAUUUGUGACUGUAUAGCUAGAGUACGGUAGAGGGGGAUGGAAUUCCGCGUGUAGUAGUGAAAUGCGUAGAUAUGCGGAGGAACACCGAUGGCGAAGGCAAUCCCCUGGACCUGUACUGACGCUCAUGCACGAAAGCGUGGGGAGCAAACAGGAUUAGAUACCCGUGUAGUCC